GUGCUCACUUCAGCAGCACAUAUACUAAAAUCGGAAUGACACAGAGAAUAUGAGCACAGCCCCUGCACAAGGAUGACAUGCAAAUUUGUUAAAUGUUCUGUAUUUUU
ensembl:snRNA U6 U6 spliceosomal RNA